CCCAAUUCAAGCCUUUGUUAAUUCCUUGGUAGUUUUUGCAGUUAAUAAAUUAGUAGAAGAUGGGUUAUCACAAUAAUCUUGAUAAGGUCCGUAAUAAGAGGGCCAAGUUUCCCUACACAAAGGAGCAGAUAAGGAACGUCUUCAAACGUCAUGACAAGAAUGGAGAUGGUCAACUUUCCAAAGAUGAGCUGGACGCAGCCUUCAAAGAACUUGGCUCGAUAUGGCCUCCUGGUAGAGCUUGGUUUGCUCAAAGGUAUGCAGAUGACGACGGCGAUGGCUUCAUUUCUAUAGACAAGGAGCUCAGCAAGCUCGUCCAGUAUGCCCUAGAAUUGAAGUAUACACUUAAGUAAUUAUAGUAUUAGUGGGUAACUAGUUCUUGUAUGUGCUUGCUAUAGAUAUAUUCUCAGCAAGCUCGUUGACUAUGCCCUCAAUUGAAGUUCUCUAUAUAAGUAAUCGUAGUGGUGGAGCUAAACUUGGUGUCUUAGUGACCACAACCACUUCAAGUCUAUAUGUAACUCCGUCUGUGUGUAAGCGUCUUUAAUUACUUGUAAGCAGCCGUAGUACCUAUAUAUGUGUGCAAGGUUGAAGGAACGAAAGAGGUGACCUUUUGUUUCCCUUCGUUACCAGGGAAGAUGAAUUUGAACCCUGAUUAUGUAUAAUAUAUAGUGAUUAACAAGAAUAAAGUAACAAACUUUGUGUAUUGAUAUCUAUUACGUAUACAUGUGUACGUAGGUGUGUCUAUAUAUUUAUAUAUGUACAUAUAUAUUGCAUUACAUACGUAUACAUACACAACUUACACUGAUAUUGUAUUACAUUCCCAAAUUCCUUCCCGGUCAAAAAGUCAACUUUUAUACUAAUAAAAUAUUCUAGGGGCAAAAUAGUCUUUUAUCUGAAUAAAUUAACAAUUAAAAAUUUAUUUAGGACUGGGUUGUUACAUAAACUCUUAUAAAUACCUCCUUAUGGAGAAGAAUAAAGUUAACCUAAUACAUUCAAACCAUAUUCAUAUUUUAGCACUAUGAAUGUUACCUUAUCGAGCAUGAGAUGUAUUUUGCUCACCCAGUAUCUCAUUCUCCUCAUCUAGGGGAGAGUAGCGUUGAAGAGUCGAAAUGGAUGGAGUUAUUUCAGGAUAAUAGUGAGGUUAAUUGGCUAGCCAUGUGUGACUUGACAACUAGUAACGAACCAAUCUGCACAGAACUGGCCAGUACCGCACUUGUGACUGAACCUACCAGUACCGUCGCACCCACAGCUUAUAACGUCUAUGCCGCCCCUCUCUCUACUACCUUUCUAGUACCCGGCCCCGAGUCUCCUCAUUCUAACAUUCUUGAGGUAAGUAUAUAAUCUUUGAUUAAUACUAACAAUGAUUGUGAAAUUAGUAAGUGUAGUGUGUAUCAGUUACCACCAAUGACUAAUCAUAGGAAGCCACCAUACGGAUAUUCACCAGAGCCUGCGACAUAGGUAAAGUAUCUUAUUUCUCAUUAUAUGUCUACUCAUAGAUUAUCUGAAGCUUGUCAGGCAUUUGUAAAUCAAAUGUCUAUGAUGACUAUUUCUAGUAAAGUACAAGAUGCAAUAUCUGAUUCAAAAUGGGCCAGUGCUAUGACUGAAGAGAUGCAAACUCUUGAGAAAGAUCAAACCUAGGAAUUGGUGCAACUGCCAGAAGGGAAGAAACCAGUUGGUUGCAGAUGUGUUAUAAAACACAAACCGGAUGGUUCUAUUGACAAGUAUAAAGCCAGACUUGUUGCCUGAGGUUUUUCCCAGACUUAUGAUAUUGAUUAACAUUUGCACCAAUGACUAAGAUCAAUACCAUUUGAGUUCGAUUAUCUUUAGCUGCAAACUUUAACUGGCCAUUGCAGCAAUAUGAUGUAAAAAAAUACCUUUUUACAUGGAGACUUACAAGAGGAAGUCUACAUGUCAUUGCCGCAAGGUUAUAAUGCUCAUACUGAUGCCAGUGUUCUGCGUAAAUUGAAGAAUACACUGUAUGGAUUGAAGCAGUCUCCGCGAACUUGGUUUAGGAGAUUGCGUCGUGCCAUGAAAAAAUAUGGUUAUGAGCAGAGCAACGCUCAUCAUACUUUAUUUCUUCAAAGGAAGAAUGGUAAGUUAACAGUUCUUAUUAUUAAUGCGGAUGAUAUGAUCGUGACUAGUGAUUGUCUUGAUGAAAUUGACAAAUUAAAAGGCUAUUUAGCUUCUGAGUUUGAUAUGAAGGAUCUCGGUGGAUUAAAAUAUUUUUUAGGUAUUGAGGUAACUUGUUCUGAACAUUGAAUUUUCUUGUCACAAAGAAAAUAUGUUCUUGUCACAAAGAAAAUAUGUUCUUGAUUUGCUAAAGGAAUCAGGUAUGCUUGGGUGUGAACCGAUUGGUACUCCUAUAGAACAAAAUCAUGGUUUGGAAGAAUAUCCAGAUCAAGUUCUAAGUGAUAAGGGACGAUAUCAAAGGUUGGUUGGUCGUUUGAUUUAUUUGUCUCAUACUAGACCUGAUAUUGCAUAUGCAGCAAGUGUUGUAAGUAGGUUCAUGCAUAAUCCAAGUCCAUGAUAUAUGGAUGCAGUAGUCUGAAUUUUGAGGUAUUUGAAAUUUGCACCAGGAAAAGGUAUGAUGUUCUUAAAGCAUGGGCAUGUAAAGGUUGUGGGGCAUACAUACUCAGACUGGGCAGGAAAGGAGGAUAAGAGGAGAUCGACAUUUGGUUAUUUCACGUUUGUUUAGGCGGUAACUUGGUUACUUUAUAGUCUAGGUGAUUGACCCCAAGCUUUUUGGAUGUUAGGUAUAUAUAGUUGGCUAUCGCGUUUAAGUACUUUUGGUUUCAGAGCGACACCCUUAUCCAUAUGGCAUCUACAACACAACAUAAAACAUAAGUUCUUUUCUUUUCAUAUCGGAUAUUGCUUUCGAGUUUCAUAUCCACCACGCUGUGUGUUAUCCCUAUGGCAUCUACGAUGGGGAUGCUUGUCCCAAUAGUCAUAGGCCAAAUCUCACCGAAAAGUCGAGCACUUUUUAGAAAGAAAGAAAGAAAGAAAGAAAAAGAAAAAAAAAAAAAAAAAAAAAAGGGUUUCACAAACCGAAAAGUUGAAUUAUUCAUUUCAACAAUUGGCAGAUGAAGUAUUUUUCUUAUCAACUUUACUACCAAAGAAAAGCUCACAAACCGUUUUAGACCAAACAAUUAAGCAUCUAUUAUCACUACUUGCAAGGUUCCAUGCUUUAUGUGCACGCAAAAUCUAGUCCAUAUAUCAUCCAUUGGAAUCAAGUAUUAUUUUUAAGGAGAGUGAUUGGCUCCUUGCCAAACUAUAUAUCAACAAAAUAUUAGCUAAAAUAUUGACAAUGUACCAUAUAUUGUAGAUAUGUUAGUACUCGAUACCAACAAAUUCUUUUCCAGAAUAAAGACCCAUGAGGCAUGUGACUUGAGGAAUAUUAGAAUACUUUUUUAAGGUCCAACAUGUGCGCAGGGGACCAGGCAGAAUCUUGUAUAAAUGGGAUUGAAUUCAUAGUGCAAGUCAUACAAGCCCUAGUUAAUUCCUUAUCCUUGGUAGUUUUGCAGUUAAUAAAUUAGAAGAAGAUGGUUUGGGAAACAAAAAGGUAUAAGGCCCCGAGCAAGGUUCCCUACACAAAGGAGCAGAUAAGGGACGUCUUCAAACGUCAUGAGACGAAUGGAGAUGGUCAACUUUCCAAAGAAGAGCUGGAUGCAGCCUUUGACGAACUUGGCGCGAAAUGGCCUCCUUUUAGAGCUUGGUUUGCUCGACGGUAUGCAGAUGACAACGGCGAUGGCUUCAUUUCUAUAGACAAGGAGCUCAGCAAGCUCGUCGAUUAUGCCCUAGAAUUGAAGUAUAUACUUCAUUAAUUAUAGUAUUUGUGGGUAACUAGUUCUUGUAUGUGCUUGCUAUAGAUAUAUUCUCAGCAAGUUCAUUGACUAUACCCUCAAUUCAAGCUUUCUAUAUAUGUAACUCUGUCCGUGUGUAAGCGUCUUUAAUUACUUAUAAGCCACCGUAGUUCCUAUAUAUGUGUGCAAGUUGAGGGAACAAAAGAGGUGAUCUUUUGUUUCCCCUUGUUACCAGGGAGGAUGAAUUUGAACCCUGAUUAUGUAUAAUAUAUAUAGUGAUUAACAAGAAUAAAGUAACAAACUUUGUGUAUUGAUAUCUAUUACAUAUAUAUAUAUGCGUACGUAGGUGUGUCUAUAUAUUUAUGUAUAUACAUAUAUAUUUUAUUACAUACGUAUACGUACACAACUUACACUGAUAAAAGCUCCGUGUUAUAGAGAUUACUGCAAUCCACUCAACACCACAUGUGGAAGCAUGGACAUUAGCAGAGUAACUUAAUAUGAUUCCAUACCAAUAUCUUGUUCAAGUGGCGUAGAGAUUUAAAUUUAAAAUCUUCAUAUAAGUAUAUCAAAAAAGAAAAAGAAGAAAAGAAAGAACUCUCACACAACUUUUCAUUGUUAUACACUCUUUUCCUAAGGGUGUACAUCCGUUCAAAACUAAUACAAUUUUACCAAUCUGCAUCUGAUUCAAUAUAUAGAUUGGAUUAUGAUUUUCUAAUCCAAUCCGAUCUCAUUAGAAGUAUAAAUCCAAUCCGAUCCAAUUAAAAUUGAAUUAGACUGGAUUGAAUGAUCAAUUUUUAUAAUGAAAAAUAGUAAUAACAAAAUAUAAAACAUUUAUCUUCAAGUUGAAUAUAAUCAAACAUUUCAGAACUUGGAGAGCACGAUGCCAUGCAGAUACCAACAGCAAAGACAGGUCCAUCCUCAACGUCAACGACCUUGUCAAAUAUGCCCUAAAACGUGGCUAUAAACUCUGAUUAACUCAGAAGCAGAUGAGGGGUUUUAGUCAACUAAUUAAUAUAAUAUAUAUGUGUAUAUGUGUGUAUGUAUGAGAGUUUUUAAUUACUUAUCUGCGAGUUCCAGCCAUAUAUACAUAUAUGUGUGUAUGCUAGAGAAGGAAGGAGGUGAGCUUUUGUUUCCCCCUCUUUGGCAAGGUUUGAUGAAUCAGAAUUAUGAUUUAUGUGGAAACUUUUGUAUUUCGCAAUGUGAUUUAAUAAUCAAAAAAAUUUAUAUUUAGAUAUCCUUUAUUAAGUAUCACCAAUUUAAUAUAAUUUUAUAAUUCACACCAACUAGCUUUUAAUAUAAUGAUAAUUGUCUCCACUUAAUUGAAUAAAGUUGCUACUCCGCUCCCUUCGCGGCCUCGGCAUCCCUGACAGCUUGGAUAGCAGCACCACCAAAUCUUGAUUUGAUUCAUAUGAAUACAACAUAACCUGCUUUGUAAACCUCGUAUGUAUAGUUUGAAGAGGAAAAGAAUUAUCAUCCAUACCAAAUCCAGAAAAACCAAAUUAUGUAUAUUAAAUGAGUUAGUAGUUACAAGGUCAAUAAUUUAUGGAGUAUAGGUGAUUGACCCCAACCUUUUUGGAUGUUGGGCAUAUAUAGCUAGCUGUCGCGUUGAAGUAGUUUUGGUUUCAGAGCGACACUCUUAUCCAUACAAUAUGUCGGUGUGCCGAUGAAAGAAUCUAUUGAUUUGUCCUCGCAAUGCAAGUGAAGGAUAAACGGCAAACUGUGUGAAUGUUUUUACUGUGAUCAGUAUGGUUGUAGAAACCAAAGCGAAGGCCUAGCUAGUUGACCCAAGUCAAGCAAAAGAAUCUAUUAGAAUUCUUCAUGUAGGACGUACGCAGGCUUAGUUUUUGUGCUUGCUGCUGAUUAGUCUGUGAUCAUGUAAUAUAAUGUCUCUGUGUAUGUACAUAUAUGCGUAUGUUAAUGAAUUAAUGACCAGUGAGCAGCCAUAGCUCUGUUUCAUAAAAUGGAUAAGCACAAAAUUUAGAAAAUAUGUGAAGGGCAUUAGUUAAUGGUUAUGUUGUUUUAUUGUUAAUGUCUAAUCUAUAUUUCAGUAAUACCAUGUGACACCAAAUGAGUUCUGUUACAAUCACCUUUUUCAUUUUCUUUUAUGAAAAAAAAGAAAAAGAAAAAAAAAACUUGAAACCAAAUGAGUUUGAUUCACAUGAAUUGCAUAAUGGGUAUAAGAUUGUCGCAAGUAAUUUGUUGAAGUGUUUCUCAUACAAUGACUCCAAAAUCAGAAGCCAAAAAGGGGAAGAAAAAUUAUGAAGCCAGAACCUGGCUUACCUGACGAAUCAGCAUCCAACGAGAGAAAAGUUGAAGCCGAUCGAGUUUAUGAUUUUCUUGGAGGACUUGAUUCACCGUAUGAUGGUGUCUAUAGCCGUAUUCUUACUCUUAGUCCUAUCCCGCCCCCUCUCGAAGCCUAUACCAUGGUCAUGGAGGAAGACACUCGUUAGUCUGCUAUGCUUAGAGGAGGUUCGAUGGCCCUCAAAGUCGACCCAGCCCGUCAAUGACCGGUCACUACCCAUCCAGAAAAUUUUCUUCUUCUGCUAGGCCUCGUUCUUCUGGAUCUAUCCCUAGCUCUCUUGAAGGUCCUCCUAAGUGUCGUCAUUGUAAUGGGAAUCACUAUUCUGAGAAGUGUUUUAAGGAGCAUGGUUAUCUUGAUUGGUUUGCUAACUACACGGCUCGUAUGUAUGGUCCUAAAGCCGCCUAUACUAUGACUCAAGAUGAGGCUCGUCCUCUGGCCCUUUCUACAAAUCUGUGUGCUUCUGAUACCAUGCCAUGUAUGGGUUCUAAUACUUGGAUAAUUGACACUGAUGCUUCUGAUCAUAUGACUUUUGAUAAUAAUAUGUUUGAUGAGUUGUCCCAUAACCCUCGUGACCCUUAUAUUACUAGUGCUAAUGGUUUACCUUCCCCAGUUAUUGGUGAAGGUACCAUCCAACUCGCUCAUUCUUUACCUCUAUCCCAUGCACUCUUGGUUCCAAAUAUUCGUUGCAAUUUGUUAUCUGUUGGGCGUUUACUUGAUACACUUAACGCGUCUGCUACUUUCUAUUCUACCUAUUGUUUUUCCAAGAUCUCAAAACUCACGAGAAGAUUAGGCAUAGUAAAUAGAUGGGGGGUUGUAUUACUUAUAGUUAUCAGUUGCAGCAGUUCGUGGUUGUGUCGCUAAUAAAGUUUAGAAUGGCAGUGUCAAAGACAAGCAACAACUUUGGUUGUGGCAUCGUCAUUUAGGACAUCCGUCCUUUGUUUAUCUUAAACAUUUGUUUUCUUCAUUAUUUAGUUUGUGUGAUGAGUCUAGCUUCAAAUAUGAAACUUGUGUAAUGGCCAAGAGCUACCGUAUUGUUUUUCCCUUGAGUAAUAAUAAAGCUGCAUUGCCUUUUGAGUUAGUACAUUCGGAUGUAUGGGGUCCUUCCCGUGUGACUUCUAAUGGUUUCCGUUGGUUUGUCACGUUUAUUGAUGACUGCACUCGCUUAACAUGGGUAUAUUUGAUGAAGCAUAAACAUGAUGUUGCCUCUAUUCUUCCUAUUUUUUGUGCUAUGGUGUCUACUCAGUUUCAUGCCAGUAUUAAAGUAUUUCGGACUGAUAAUGGAGGUGAAUAUGUGAAUCAUACCUUGACCCAUUUCGUCCGUGAUCAAGGUAUCAUCCACCAAACUACCACUCUAUUCACUCCUCAACAGAAUGGUAUGUCUGAACGUAAGAAUCGUCAGUUACUUGAAGUUGCUCGCUCCCUUAUGUUGGAUAUGUCUUUUCCCCAUCAUCUUUGUGGACACGGUGUCUUGGCCACUGCUCAUUUGAUUAACCGUACUCCUAGUCGGGUUCUUGAUUUCAAGACUCUGCUUGAUGUGUUAUGUACCCAUACUUCUCCAGUCUCGGUCUCUAAGUUACCUCCAAAGGUGUUGGGUGUGUUGCUUUUGUUCAUGUCUACUCUCAUUAACGGAGUAAACUGGACCUGUGUGCGCUUCGCUGUGUCUUCAUUGGCUAUUCUACCACUCAAAAGGGUUACAAGUGCUAUCACCCUCAUUCACAGAAAGUACAUGUUACUUUGGAUGUCAUCUUUCACGAAAAAGUAUCGUAUUAUGUCUCUUCCUCCUCUCUAAUUCAGGGGGAGAAGGGGAGUGAAUUGAAGAGUUUCGGAAUGGAAAAUCAUGGACGUAAAGAGGCAUGUGAAGGAAUUUCUGACCAAGUGCCAACGACCGGUCGUGUAAAGGAAGCAACCGGUCACCAAGUAAUCUGCCUGGAAUCGACCGGUCGAGCAGACGAUGACGACUAGUCGCAUGCCUAGAUGACUGAUGACUGCCAGGAAACGACGAUCGAUCGCUCAAAAGAUGACGAUCGGUCGCCUAUUGAAUUCUUUGAUGAAAUUUGCUCUUCGCCAAAAGAACGUGACAGUGAUACUGGUGACUCUUGUGAAGAUAAGAUCGAUAUAAGACCCCCAUCUGCUCUGCCACUGCCCCAAUCAACUCUUGAUAAUGAUGAAGUACUUUCUAAUGAUGUGUCUACUUAUUCAUUACCCCCACCCACUACUCGUGGUAAACCUAAAGUACAAUAUUCUAUUGAUAUACAUUCCAAAUCUAAAUAUCUCAUUAACCAUUAUGUGCCAACUCAUCGUCUAUCUAAGUCAUAUGCAUCAUAUUUGUGUCAAUUAUCUAGUGUUUGUAUGUCAACUAAGUUGCAUGAUGCUUUAUCUAAUCUAAAAUGGGUAGAUGCAAUGCAUGUUGAGAUGGAAGCCUUGAACAAGAAUGCCACUUGGGAGCUAGUUCCUUUACCAAAAGGAAAAAAGGCAGUUGGGUGCAGAUGAGUGUUUACUUUGAAGACAAUGCUGAUGGUUCCAUUGACCGUUACAAGGCAAGGUUGGUAGCAAAAAGUUAUACUCAGACUUAUGGAGUGGAUUACACAGCGACCUUUGCUCCAGUAGCAAAGCUCAAUACUGUGCGCGUACUCUUGACCUUGGUUGCUAAUCAUGAUUGGCCUAUGUUACAAUUCGAUGUCAAAAAUGCAUUCCUCCAUGGUGACCUCAAGAAAGAAAUAUACAUGGAUCCUCCGCCGAGUAUUCCUGUGACCUCUAAGGAGGGUAUGGUGUGCAAACUAUGGAAAUCCUUAUAUGGAUUAAAGCAGUCUCCAAGAGCUUGGUUUAGGAAGUUUGCUGCAUCUAUUAGGAAGUUUGGGUAUGUAUAAAGUAAUUCGAAUCAUACGUUGUUUCUGAAGGGUCGCAAAGGUAAAUUGACAGCUUUAAUAAUUUAUGUUGAUAAUAUAAUUGUAACUGGAGAUGAUCAUGCAGAAAUACACAGUCUCCAGAAAUAUCUGGCGUCUGAGUUUGAGAUGAAAUCAUUAGGUGACUUGAAGUAAUUUCUCGGGAUUGAAGUUGCUAAAUCUAAGCGUGGUAUUUUCCUGUUUCAAAGGAAGUAUAUUUUGGAUUUGCUUGCAGAAACUGGAAUGAUGGAUUGUAAACCAAUUGAUAAUCCUAGUGAACAAAAUCACAAGUUGGGGUUCUAUCCUGAUCAAGUUCCUACUGAUAAGGAGUGCUAUCAACAGCUCGUGGGGAAAUUAAUUUAUUUAGCUCAUACAUGUCCUGACAUUGCGUAUGCAGUGAGUGUAGUGAGUCAGUUUAUGCACUUGCCUAGUGAAGACCAUAUGGGAGCUGUGACGCGUAUUUUGAGAUAUCUCAAAGUAACUCCUGGCAAUGGGUUAAUGUUUUCAAAGUAUGGUCAUAUAGAUGUGGAAGGAUACACAGAUGCUAAUUAGGCAAGUUUAGCUAUUGAUAGGCGUUCUACGUCUGGGUAUUUUACGUUUGUUGGUGGUAAUCUUGUUACUUGGAGAAGCAAGAAACAAAAUGUGGUGUCUUGUUCUAGUGAUGAGGCUGAGUAUCGUUGGAUGGCCCAUGACGUAUGUGAGUUACUGUGGUUGAGGAGAUUAUUGAGAGAUCUUGGCUUUGGACCUAAGAAACCUAUGGAUUUAUAUUGUAACAAUAAGGCUGCGAUUGCAAUUGCUCAUAAUCAUGUACAACAUGAUCGUACAAAGCAUGUGGAGGUUGAUCGAAAUUUCAUUAAAGAGAAGUUCGAUGCGGAGAUUGUUUCCUUCCCAUUCAUCAGUUCUGAGUAUCAGUUAGCUGAUGUCCUUACGAAAGCUGUUUCUACAAGUAUCUUCCUCAACUCGCUUGACAAGUUAGGCAUGUGUGACGUCUUUGCUCCAACUUGAGAGGGAGUGUUGGCGAGAUAUCCUAACCCUAUUAGGAUAUUUCCUUCUUAUUCUAAUAGGAUUUUAUUUAUUUCUUUUUGUAUAGAUAUUACGUAAUUAGGACUUUUCUUAUUUCCUAGUAUAACCCUAUUAGAGUUUGUAACCUUGUAUUAUAAAUACCUCCUUUCGAAAAAUGAAAUACAUAUAAAAAAUAUUAUACCUAUAUUGUUUGACUAAGAUGAUGCAAGGGUUGAGUCUGAUAAUACGCAGGGUAGAAGAUGAAGAGGCGAGAGAACAUGUUUGUGUCAAACAUGUAUUUUAAUAAUUUUUUUUAAUAAAAAAAAAUGAAUUGAAGAGUUAACAGAGUUAAAAUGUUGUUAAAUAGUGUGCCACAUGUUACAAAAUCAAGGAGGAAAUGGGGACACAGAGAAUUUGGUAACAGAAAAAUUCAACUUGUAAGAGUAGCACUAGUUUAUAGUCCAUAGGUGAUUGACCCCAACCUUUUUGGAUGUUAGGCAUAUAUAGAUAGCUAUCGCGUUUAAGUACUAUUGGUUUCAGAGCGACACCCUUAUCCAUAUGGCAUCUACAACACAACAUAAAACAUAUGUUCUUUUCUUUUCAUAUCGGAUAUGGCUUUCGAGUUUCAUAUCCACCACGCUGUGUGUUAUCCAUAUGGCAUCUACAAUUGGGAUGCUUGUCCCAACAGUCAUACGCCAAAUCUCACAUAAUGAAUCUCGAUCCAACUUAAAGAGUAUAAGAUGGAGAUCUCAAGUACUCUUGAGUCUGAUAAUUAUAUUUCCAACGUUAAUUUAGGGGUUUUAGUACUUAUGAUUAAUAAUUUAUAGUUAAAAUGUUUUUAUAUGUUAUAUUAAAAUACUAUGUGCAAAGGAUUCACUAGUGUAGUGGUUUAAAGCAAUUUCUCUUUCAGACAACGUUAUAGGUUCGAAUUCUAAUAUCUGCUAGAAAGAAAGAAAGAAAAAGGUUUCACUCACAAACCGAAAAGUUGAAUUAUUCCUUUCAACAAUUGGCAGAUGAAGCAUUUUACUGUUAUCAACUUUACUACCAAAGAAAAGCUCACAAACCGCUUUUGACCAAACAAUUAAGCAUCUAUUAUCACUACUUGCAAAGUUCCAUGCUUUAUGUGCACGCAAAAUCUAGUCCAUAUAUAUGACUCGAUUUUUUUUAAAUAAUCAACUGUAGUUUACCAAUUUCAUCUGCGGAAAUUACAAGAGGCAACACUUAGAACAAGAGAAACCUAACUCAAAAACAAGAAGAACAAGAAUUUGUUUGAUAUUUCAUCCAUUGGAAUCAAGUAUUAUUUUUAAGGAGAGUGAUCGGAUCGAUGCCAAACUAUAGUAAGUAUAUAUCAACAAAAUACCAAACUGGAGUAUCAAGAAAAUAUUGAAUAAAAUAUCAAUAAUGUAUCAUAUACUGUAAAUAAAUUGGUACCCGAUACCAACAAAUUCUUUCCCAAAAUAGAGACCCUUGAGGCAUGUGACUUGAAGAAUAUUAGAAUACUUUUGGAGGUCCAACAUGUGCGCAGGGGAUCAGGCAGAGCCCUAUAUAAAUGGGCUCCCUCAUAGUGUACAAGUCACCCAAUUCAAGCCUUUGUUAAUUCCUUGGUAGUUUUUGCAGUUAAUAAAUUAGUAGAAGAUGGGUUAUCACAAUAAUCUUGAUAAGGUCCGUAAUAAGAGGGCCAAGUUUCCCUACACAAAGGAGCAGAUAAGGAACGUCUUCAAACGUCAUGACAAGAAUGGAGAUGGUCAACUUUCCAAAGAUGAGCUGGACGCAGCCUUCAAAGAACUUGGCUCGAUAUGGCCUCCUGGUAGAGCUUGGUUUGCUCAAAGGUAUGCAGAUGACGACGGCGAUGGCUUCAUUUCUAUAGACAAGGAGCUCAGCAAGCUCGUCCAGUAUGCCCUAGAAUUGAAGUAUACACUUAAGUAAUUAUAGUAUUAGUGGGUAACUAGUUCUUGUAUGUGCUUGCUAUAGAUAUAUUCUCAGCAAGCUCGUUGACUAUGCCCUCAAUUGAAGUUCUCUAUAUAAGUAAUCGUAGUGGUGGAGCUAAACUUGGUGUCUUAGUGACCACAACCACUUCAAGUCUAUAUGUAACUCCGUCUGUGUGUAAGCGUCUUUAAUUACUUGUAAGCAGCCGUAGUACCUAUAUAUGUGUGCAAGGUUGAAGGAACGAAAGAGGUGACCUUUUGUUUCCCUUCGUUACCAGGGAAGAUGAAUUUGAACCCUGAUUAUGUAUAAUAUAUAGUGAUUAACAAGAAUAAAGUAACAAACUUUGUGUAUUGGUAUCUAUUACGUAUAUAUGUGUACGUAGUUGUGAACUUGUGUCUAUAUAUUUAUGUAUGUACAUAUAUAUUGUAUUACAUACGUACACAUGCACAACUUACACUAAUAAAAGCGCCAUGUUAUAGAGAUUACUACAAUCCACUUAACACCACAUGUGGAAACAUGGACAUGACCAGAGCAACUUAAUAUGAUUCCAUAUCAAUAUCUUGCCUUUUGUUUUGGUACAUUCUGAUGUUUGGGGCCUACUCCAAUUACUAGUACUUCUGGCUUCCGUUGAUUUGUUAUUUUGUGGAUGAUUGCACUCGCAUAUCAUGGUUGUACCUGAUGCAAAAUAAGAGUGAUGUUUUUGCUUGCUUUCGAACUUUUCACCAGAUGAUUAAAAAUCAAUUUUCUGCUACUUUAAAGGUGCUUCUUUCAGAUAAUGGUGGUGAACAAUUUUGAUGAUUCUUCCCUUCAUCCACACCAUUCUUACACAGUUAUUUUCAGAAACAUGGAAUUCUACAUGAGACUACUUGUCCUUACACACCUCAGCAGAAUGGUGUGGAUGAAGGGAAGAAUCAUCAAAAUUGUGAAAUUACUCAUGCUAGUCUUAUAGGUGCCCAUAUGACCCCAUAAUUCUAGGAGGAGGUGAUCACCUAUACAGUCUAUCUUCUUAAUAUUGUGUUCCUGCUAGUGUCCUGUAGUUUAAGACACCAUUGGACAAAUUUGAGGCUUAUGUUUCCUUCCUAUCUCAUAUCACUCUUCUGUCACAUCUCGGGAUCGGCUCCGUCAUAGCACGAUAUUGUCCGCUUUGGGCCCCCUUUCUGCCCUCACAGUUUUGUUUCUAUGAAUCACGAGCAACUUCCCAGUGAGUCACCCAUCCUGGGAUUGAUUUAGCCCCAACUCGCUUAACUUCAGAGUUCCCAUGACUCUGAAGCCAGUGAGCUCUCAAAAGGCCUCGUGCUAGAUGGAGGAGGGCAUGUACAUAUAAGGCACAUCACCCCCUCUCCGUUGGUCGAUGUGGGAUGUUACACUUCUACCUUGUGUUUUUAGAUGCGUUGCUUUUGUGCACUUGCACAAACAUCAACAUACGAAAUUCGAUCAGUGUGCUGUGAAGUGUGUGUUUAUUGGUUAUCACCCCCAUCAGAAGGGUUAUCGGUACUUUCAUCUACCGAGUCAACAUUUUUAUGUUACUAUGAAUGUUACGCUUUCCAAGCAUGAGAUGUAUUUUGCUAAACCAGUAUCUCAUUCUCCUCUUAUGGGGGAGAGUAGCGUUGAAGAGUCAAAAUGGAUGAGUUAUUUCAGGAUAAUAAUGAGGUUAAUUGGUAGCCAUGCGUGACUUGACAGCUAGUAACGAACCAACCUGCACAGUACCAACCAGUACCGCACCUGCGACUGAACCUACCUGCACAUUCGCACCCACAGCCGAUAACGUCUGUGCUGCCCCUCUCUCUACUACUUUUCCAGUACCGGCCCUAAGUCUCCUCAUGCUGACAUUCUUGAGGUAAGAAUAGAAUCUUUAAUUAACACUAACAAGGAUUGUGAAAUUAUUGAGCGUAGUGAGUAUCAGUUACCAACAAUGAGUAAUUGUGGGAAGCCACCAUAUGGAUAUUCACCAGAGCCUGCGACAAAGGUAAAGUAUUUUAUUUCUCAUUAUAUGUCUACUCACAGAUUAUCUGAAGCUUGUCAGGCAUUUGUAAAUCAAAUGUCUACUGUGGCUAUUUAUAGUAAAGUACAAGAUGCAUUGUCUGAUUCAAAAUGGGCUAUUGCUAUGAUUGAAGAGAUCCAAACUCUUGAGAAAAAUCAAACCUAGGAAUUGGUGCAACAGCCAUAAGGGAAGAAACCAGUUGGUUGCAGAUGUAUUAUACCAUAAAACACAAACCGGAUGGUUCUAUUGACAAGUAUAAAGCCAGACUUGUUGCCCAGAGUUUUACCCAAACUUAUGGUAUUGAUUAUCAAGAGACAUUUGCACAUGUGGCUAAGAUCAAUACCAUUCGAGUUCUACUAUCUUUAGCUACAAACUUUAACUGACCAUUGCAGCAAUAUGAUGUAAAAAAUGUCUUUUUACAUGGAGACUUACAGGAGGAAGUCUACAUGUCAUUGUCACCAGGUUAUAAUGCUCCUACUGAUGCCAGUGUUCUGUGUAAAUUAAAGAAUGCACUGUAUGGAUUGAAGCAGUCUUUGCAAGCUUGGUUUAGGAGAUUGCGCCGUGCCAUGAAAAAUAUGGUCAUGAGCAGAGCAAUGCUCGUCAUACUUUAUUUCUUAAAAGGAAGAAUGGUAAGUUAACAGCUCUUAUUAUUUAUGCGGAUGAUAUGAUCGUGACUGGUGAUGAUCUUGAUGAAAUUGGCAAAUUAAAAGGCUAUUUCGCUUCUGAAUUUGAUAUGAAGGAUCUCGGUGGAUUAAAAUAUUUUCUGGAUAUUGAGGUAACUCAUUCUGAAUAUGGAAUUUUCUUGUCACAAAGAAAAUAUGUUCUUGAUUUGCUAAAGGAAACAGGUAUGCUUGGGUGUGAACCGAUUGGUACUCCUAUAGAACAAAAUCAUGGUUUGGAAGAAUAUCCAAAUCAAGUUCCAACUGAUAAAGGACGAUAUCAAAGGUUGGUUGGUCGGUUGAUUUAUUUGUCUCACACUUGACCUAAUAUUGCAUAUGCAGUAAGUGUUGUAAGUAGGUUCAUGCAUAAUCCAAGUUUACGAUAUAUGGAUGCAGUAGUCCAAAUUUUGAGGUAUUUGAAGUCUGCACUAGGAAAAGGUCUGAUGUUCUUAAAGCAUGGCAUGUAAAGGUUGUGGGGUAUACGGACUUAGACUCGGCAGGGAAUGGGGAUAAGAGGAGAUAGACAUUUGGUUAUUUCACGUUUGUUUAGGCGGUCACUUGGUUACUUGGAAGAGUAAAAAGCUGAAGGUUGUCUAUUUGUUGAGUCCAGAUGUCGAGUAUCGGGCUAUGGUGAAAGGUGUUUGUGAAGUGCUAUGGUUAAAAAGGCUUAUGGGGGAGCUAGGUUUUCCUACUGAGAAUACUAUGAAGUUGUAUUGUGAUAAUCAGUCAGCAAUUAAGAUUGCUGAAAAUCCAGUUCAACAUGAUAGAAUGAAACAUGUAGAGAUUGAUCGAAACUUUAUUUAUGAGGAAUUGGAAGAGAAGAUUAUUGAAGUUCCAUAUGUUAAGACUACUGAACAAUUGGCAAAUAUGUUGACCAAGGUUGUAUCAAAUCAAGCCUUUACAGAUUCACUUACCAAGCUAGGUAUCUGCGACAUCUAUGCACCAUCUUGGGGGGAGUGUUGGCUUGAAUCACAAUAGGAAUUAUAGACAAUUACCUUUAUUAUAUUGAUUUGUAAUUAUAGGAAUACCGGUUUGACCUGGAUUGUAUUUAUUCCUUUUUCCUUAUUGUAAUUAGUUACUAGAUAGACUUGUAUUUGUAUCACUAUAAAUACCUCAUUGUGAGAAGAAUAGAAACAUACUGAAUCAUUCGUAACCCUAAAUUCUAUUUGAAUGGUGUUAGCAGCAGCCAAAAAGGGGAAAAAUUUAUGAAGCGAUUUUCCUUCCAAUGGUGAUUGUGAAUUGAGUCGAGUGAGAGAGAAAGACUUAAGAGGCUGAAAGAAUUGACAAAAGCUCGUGAAUCAUCUGCUCGGCAUUGGCACUGGCUGGUUUUCAUGUAAAUUUGCAGUAUGCAAGUUCUGUUCAAAUCACAUUUUUCAUUGUCUUUUAUGGAAAAAAAAACUGAAACCAAAUGAGUUUGAUUCACAUGAAUUGCAUAAUCGGUAUAUGAUUGUCGCAAGUUAUUUGUUGAAGUGUUUCUCAUACGAUGGCUCCAAAAAAGUGGAGAAAAAUUAUGAAGCAAAACCUAGCUUACCCAACGAACCAGCUUCGAAUGAGCGAAAAAAUUUAUCGAACCAGAUACAGGGGCUAAGUUUUGCAUGGCAGAGAUGAUGCAAGGGUUGAGUCUGAUGAUACGUAGGGUAGAAGAUGAGGAGACGAGAGAACAUGUUUGUGUCAAACGCGUAUUUUAAUAAUUUUUUUUAAAAUAAAAAGAAAUGGGUUGAAGAGUUAAUAGAAUUAAAAUGUUGUUAAAUGGUGUGCCGUGUGUCACAAAACCAAUGAAGAAAUAAAGAGGCACAAGAGAUUUGGUAAGAGGAAAAUUGGACUCGUAAGAGUAACACUAAUUUAUAGAGUGGGUGAUUGACCCCAAGCUUUUUGGAUGUCAGGCAUAUAUAGCUAGCUAUCGCGAAGUACUUUUGGUUUCAGAGCUACCGUCUUAUCCAUAUGGCAUCUACAAACAUACAGCAUAUGUCGGUGUGCCGAUCAAAGAAUAUAUAAAGCAUUUUACUGUGAUCCAUUAUACGCUUUCGUCACGUGUAGUGAUCCAUUAUAUUGUUGGAUAUUGCUAUUGGUUUCGGUUUUUUGAAUGAACCAUAAUCUUAAUCUUACACUGCAAGUCCAAACCUUAUCUCUUGUAGUGUUUCAGGCACCCCUUUCUUGUAGUGUUCUUGUGGUGGUUCUGUUCAAAAUGUUGUCCACCCAAAACCUUUGCAUACUUUACAGAAAAAUUACCCCACAUAUCGGAUAUUGCUUUCCAGUUUCAAAUCCACCACGCUGUGUGUUAUUCAUAGGGCAUCUACAAUGGGGUAUGCUUGUCCCAAUAGUCAUAAGCCAAAUCUCACAUAAUGAAUCUCGAUCCAACUUAAAGAGUAUAAGAUGGAGAUCUCAAGUACUCUGAGUCUAAGAAUUAUAUUUCCAACAUGAAUUUAGGGGUUUUAAUACUUAUGAUUAUUUUAUAGUUAAAAUGAUUUUAUAUGUUAUAUUAAAACACUACGUGCAAAGGAUCCACUAAUGUAGUGGUUUAGAGCAAUUGUUCUCUCAGACAACGUCAUGAGUUCGAGUCCUAGCAUCUGUGUAGUUGAAUUAUCCCUUACAAACCGAAAAGUUGGGCACCUUUCAGAAAGAAAGAAGAAAAAAAGGUUUCACAAACCGAAAAGCUGAAUUAUUCCUUUCAACAAUUGGCAGAUGAAGCAUUUUACUGUUAUCAACUUUACUACCAAAGAAAAGCUCACAAACCGUUUUAGACCAAACAAUUAAGCAUCUAUUAUCACUACUUGCAAAGUUCCAUGCUUUAUGUGCACGCAAAAUCUAGUCCAUAUAUGCUACUCGAUUUUUUUUAAUAAUCAACUGUAGUUUACCAAGAAUUUGUUUGAUAUUUCAUCCAUUGGAAUCAAGUAUUAUUUUUUAGGAGAGUGAUCCGCUCGUUGCCAAAGUAUAUAUCAACAAAAUAUUAGGUAAAAUAUUGACAAUGUACCAUAUACUGUAGAUAUGUUAGUACUCGAUACCAACAAAUUCUUUUCCAGAAUAAAGACCCAUGAGGCAUGUGACUUGAAGAAUAUUAGAAUACUUUUUUAAGGUCCAACAUGCGCGCAGGGAACCAGGCAGAGCCCUAUAUAAAUGGGAUUGAAUUCAUAGUGCAAGUCAUUCAAGCCCUGGUUAAUUCCUUAUCCUUGGUAGUUUUGCAGUUAAUAAAUUAGAAGAAGAUGGUUUGGGAAACAAAUAGGUAUAAGGCCCCGAGCAAGGUUCCCUACGCAAAGGAGCAGAUAAGGGACGUCUUCAAACGUCAUGACAAGAAUGGAGAUGGUCAACUUUCCAAAGAAGAGCUGGACGCAGCCUUUGACGAACUUGGCGCGAAAUGGCCUCCUUUUAGAGCUUGGUUUGCUCGACAGUAUGCAGAUGACAACGGCGAUGGCUUCAUUUCUAUAGACAAGGAGCUCAGCAAGCUCGUCCAGUAUGCCCUAGAAUUGAAGUAUAUACUUCAUUAAUUAUAGUAUUAAUUAGUGGGUAACUAGUUCUUGUAUGUACUUGCUAUAGAUAUAUUCUCAGCAAGCUCAUUGACUAUACCCUCAAUUAAAGCUCUCUCUAUAUAUGUAAUCGUAGUGAUGGAGCUAGACUUGGUAUCUUAGUGGCCACAACCACUUCAAGUUUGUAUGUAACUCCGUCCGUGUGUAAGCGUCUUUAAUUACUUGUAAGCAGCCGUAGUACCUAUAUAUGUGUGCAAGGUUGAAGGAACGAAAGAGGUGACCUUUUUUUUCCCUUCGUUACCAGGGAAGAUGAAGAACCCUGAUUAUGUAUAAUAUAUAGUGAUUAACAAGAAUAAAGUAACAAACUUUGUGUAUUGAUAUCUAUUACAUAUAUAUGUGUAUGUAGGUGUGUCUAUAUAUUUAUAUAUGUACACAUAUAUUGUAUUACAUACGUAUACAUACACAACUUACACUGAUAAAAGCUCCAUGUUAUAGAGAUUACUACAAUAUUCCACUCAACACCACAUUUGGAAGCGUGGACAUGAGCAGAGCAACUUAAUAUGAUUCCAUAUCAAUAUCUUGUUCAAG
rnacentral:lncRNA from 1 species